CAUCCCUUGACAAGUCGUGCCACGCCGGGAGACCGGCCGUUCCCUUCGGGGACGCGAACACAGGUGCUGCAUGGCUGUCGUCAGCUCGUGUCGUGAGAUGUUGGGUUAAGUCCCGCAACGAGCGCAACCCUCGCCCUUAGUUGCCAUCAUUCAGUUGGGCACUCUAGGGGGACUGCCGGUGAUAAGCCGAGAGGAAGGUGGGGAUGACGUCAAGUCCUCAUGGCCCUUACGGGAUGGGCUACACACGUGCUACAAUGGCGGUGACAGUGGGACGCGAAGCCGCGAGGUGGAGCAAAUCCCCAAAAGCCGUCUCAGUUCGGAUUGCACUCUGCAACUCGAGUGCAUGAAGGUGGAAUCGCUAGUAAUCGUGGAUCAGCACGCCACGGUGAAUA
rnacentral:rRNA from 1 species